rnacentral:rRNA from 1 species
UACGGAGGGUGCGAGCGUUGUUCGGAUUUAUUGGGCGUAAAGCGCGUGCAGGCGGUCUUCUAAGUCUGAUGUGAAAGCCCCGGGCUCACCCCGGGAAGUGCAUUGGAAACUGGGAGACUUGAGUACGGGAGAGGGCAGCGGAAUUCCUGGUGUAGGGGUGAAAUCCGCAGAUAUCAGGAAGAACACCGGUGGCGAAGGCGGCUGCCUGGACCGAUACUGACGCUGAGACGCGAAAGCGUGGGGAUCAAACAGG